CCCGCAGACACGGAGCGGUUCGGCUGACGGCCCUCGGGACGGGCCCGGCCUGCCUUCCGGGGCUGCUGCGCCCCACAUCCUCCAGUGAGGCUGCCUGCGUGCCCGUACGUGCUGGUUGUGUUACUCUGAGGGUCUGCAGGUAACGACGUUUGUGCAAUGAGGGCGGCGAGGCAGUGCCACAGGUUGCCCGGAGAGGCGGUGUGCCCCGUCCCUGCACACACCCAGGGUCAGGACGGAGGGGCUCUGAGCACUGACGGGGCUGUAGGUGUCCCUGUUGGUGCAUCGGGCUGGACCCGAUGACCUUCAAAGCUCCCUUCCAACUCCGGCUUCUUAUGAUCCUAUGCUGGCCAUGUGCUUCCCUCUGCUGUCUGCUGUGGAACGUAAGGCGUUAUCGGGUCUACGGUAAGACCUGGGAUAAACCUUCAACUUCCAGUAAGCAGCACCUCUCUGACAGUUAUUUAAAGCCUGUCCGCAUUGUUCCAGAGCUAUUUCCUUUUUCCUCUAAGGCAACCUACGGUAGGAAACCGGCGGUCCCUCAGGUAGCCCGCUUCCACUUCACUUGAAGUCUUGCCUGCUCGUGGCAUUUGGGGCCAGCAGAGCGACCUGCAGAGGCUGAAAAUUGUCUGCAGCUUCCUGCCUUUUGUGGAGUGGGCCAAAGAUAACAGUUUUGGUUUGGUUUCGGACGGCCCAGGAGUGGGCCUGUUGUGAUUCAUGCGUUCCACUUGCAGAUUGGCAUUGCUGAGACUAUAAAAUGGACGUGCUUGCUUUGGACGGCCUUCCGUAGCCUUUGAAGGGCACAGAAGUGUUCUCCCUGGUUUUGGUGGGAGAAGCAGUCUGUUUGGUGUGCUAGGCUGGUGUGCCAGUUAGUAUCUCCUACUGAUAGGAUGGGAAAGGACAGGGGAUUGGGGUCUCAUUUGUGAAGACUGAAUGUUUGUAGAUGGGGCGUUUUGCACAUUACAUACAAUUUGCAGACCAGUGAUUUGGUAGUUUGUUUUAACCGAUCCAUCUGCCAUCUUAACUCUAGAAAUGAAUGGAAAAGACAGCGUGCUGUGAAUGGAAGUCGUGCUCUGUGAAACCAGCAGUUACUCGUGUGGUAACAGAUAUGGUCUGCGGGGAAAAAGAGAAUGAACUGAAAGCGAGACGUGGAAAUCAAGCUAUGGGAAAGGGUUUCUUUUGUGACGUUGUGGAUGACCGCGAGGAUUGGCAUUUGUAGCAACCAGAGCCCAUCUCAGUCAUGCAGGGAGUCGCUUUGUAAACGCAGUUUUCCUGCCUACGAGGUUUGUUUGCUUGGUGAUAAGAAACAAUGGUCAACUCGAUGUGCUACUUAAGCAUUUCAGUGCUUGAGAAGAGGAAUCUAGGUUUGUGCUGAACCUGUUUUCUUAGUUAGUCAAAUGCCGGCUUGGCAGCCAAUCUAGAAGGCUGGUAGCACCGAGGCAGAGUGAUUAUGAGGAUUGUUUUCAGCAGCCUCUGCUAAGUCUGCUUUUAUGAAACUUCUUUCCGUUGAGGAAAACAGGUCUUAUCUUCAGGAUUGGAAGCACCGCAUGAGGGAGAGGCACGGGCCAUACUUUUCAAGGUGCCUGAAAAGCAGUGAUGGUUUUGGCUUUGAGUAAGACUGGUGUUUAUCCACGAGAGUGAUAUUAGCUGCAGUUAAGGAGGGGAAAGCAUGGCACAGAGGAGCAACAAAAGGUGUGAGUUUUCCAGUUGUACAUGGAGCACUCGUUUUUGUUCUGCUAAGGAGAGCGUAGUUACAUUGGUUUGGGUUUGUUUUUUCCACUUCCUGCAUCUGGGGGUUGUUGUACCCUAAUACAGGCUCUUUUUCUUAUGGCACAGUGGGAUGGCACGAUCGGUGUGUGGCCUUGGGGGUACCCAGGCCUGAAGCCGUGCCCUCACUGUGUGCUGAGAGCUGGCCUUGGGGUGAAGCCAGGUGGUGCCUGACACUGUGUAAGCUCCCAGAGGAGGACAGCACACUCCAGGUCCCAUCCUUAUUUUACUGGUGUUGCAAACAAGUUAUUCUUGUACUCUGCAGAAAGCCUCACGACCACAAAACCAGCAAUAAUUGUAUAAAUGAUAAGCCUGUUUUCCUCCUCCUCCUCCCAGAUAUUCUGAGUGCGACAGACAGCAGAGAUGUGCAUUGCUGGAAUCCAGAGAGUUUCAUAACGUGGCAGCCACUUGCUGCAUAUGCCACUGCAUACAUAAAGCGGUAUUUAUUUUAAGUAUUGAGGAACAUUCUCUCUAAGCAGAAGAAAAAAGCGUUUAGGUGAAGCCGGUCCCGUUUGUUUACAAGUCUUGGUUUUUGUCUUUAUACAUUUUAAAUGCUUUUUAUUUGUAUUCUGAUUUUUUUUUUGAGCCUUUCAAGUUCAUGUUUUCCAUUUCUCGUUGUUCACACAACAAGAAAGCCUGGAUUGAGUCCUUACUUUAUAAAGGAAGAUCUCAUUGAGUGUCCCCUCUAACCACACAACCUCAGCCAAAGGGUGUUUAAAAAUACAGCCCCUUUUGAGAGAAUUGCUUGUUUUGAGAGCAGUUUUCAGCUCCGAGCUUGAGUAAUUUGAGUAAAUACUUUGUUGGCGGUUUAAGAAGCUUUUAACAACACCUAUCUCUGUUUGCUUUUCAGGGAGGUCUCUCUUCUACUUUUCUGAACAUCUAGAGCUUGUUUCACCUUUGUAUGUGCUGAUGAAGUCAGAAACGUAGUGUACCAGCAUGACUAACGUGUGUUGAAUAAUGCAUACAAAUGCCUUCAGAAAUGCAUGCACAGAUUUCAUGCAGUCCCCUUAAGCUGCUGAGCAGCAGGGAGGGUGCAGAGCCCCUCCUCAGGGCGGCAGGAGGAGGUGUGUUGGCAUCCUGGGAGGAGCAGAAAACCUCUGUGGUUCCCUGAGGAAAUCACAGAUGCGUUCGAGGCCUUAAGCUUGGUAGCCUGAUGUUUAACCCUGUCCUUGUUUUUGGAAUGCUGUUAACAGAUAAACGAGCAUUUUAAAUCUGUUGUUGUUUGUUGCGGUGCUGCUCUCAAGCAGUGCACAUCAGGACCAGGAGGAGACAUCCUUCCUCAGCUCAAAGAUUCUGCCUCUCCCCGCUAUGGAUACAAGCACAAGCACCUGGCCAUGCGUUCCCCAGGCUGCACAGACAGCUUUCUGGCCAGCUGCUCUCUCUGCUCUAUCCCUACCAAUAACAUCCAGGGAAAGCAGGGGCCGACUGCUGUCCUGUGGCUGUGCGAGAGCCCCAUUCUGUGCUCCCAGGCCAGGUGCUCCAGAAUGGCUUUUCUAGGAGGUUACGACUUGUGUGGUUUCAAUCGCAUAAGUCUUUGGCCUUGUGCCCUGAAGUGCCAGCAGAGGCAUGCUGUAAUUGCCCGUAAACGUACCGUCUGUCAUUAUCAUUGUUUAAUUAUUCCAGCUUCUCACCGCCACGCACUGCUCAGUGUCUCUCCUGCUAUCUUUAUUUAAUUGAGUGGAAAAAAUCUGAGACUUGUGCUUCACUUACGUCACUUUGUAUUUAUCCAGCAUCACUGGAUCCCGCUUUGAAGUCCCAGCUUUUGUAUGCAGAAGUCGGUCUUCUAUACAGACAAAAUAAUGUCCGUGUCAAAAGCGUAUGUUAGAAAUAGAAUCAAUAUUUUAACACAUGGUAAACUCCGGCCACAAAGCUCUUAGCACAGUCAAAUGAUUGUAUGAUCAUCCUUUGAAACUUGGCUCUGCCCCUGGGAAACAAGAAAGGGAAAGAAAACUCUUGAAUAACCAAGCCCUUGUCCUCACAGCGCAGGACUGUUCUCAGCCUGUCGCUUUGUCUGUGCCACUCCUUCCUUUUCCGUCUCCCAGCUCUGUUUUCUUCUGCAUCAAACGCAUUCAGCUCCAGGAGCCUUCUUUCUCCAGCCCAUCCCUAUGGAUCUGUUUUAGUGCAUUACCAGACGUCAGUUCCGUCCCGAGAUCGCCCUGCACCGUCCCCGUGGCAGUUCCACCACGUUUCAGACACCUCUACGCUUCUGUACCAAGCUUGCAACUAACCAAAUUUUAAUGUGAUGAAAAAUGUAAUCUUUCUGAGAUCUCUCCAACGCUCCCCUUGUCCGUAUGGCCUGAAAAGACUUGGCAGCGUGUUGGCUGCUUUUCUUUUCUCCCCUUUCCCCGUGUCAGUGACAAAUGCACAUUGUUUUUCUGGUCUUUCAGUCUCCGAGCCAGACCAACGCUUUGUGCAGCACCUAGCUCACCGGGUUGCUAUCAAGGCAGCUGUGUGCUCCUACACCAACACAAAAUAUUGGGGUUGCUGGCACUCACUCUGGCCUAGUUUGCCUCUCUCCUCGCAGAAGGAGUUUCAUGAUGUCCUCCUGGAAGAUCAUUGUACACCUGAACAGGUCUACCUUUCAGGAUUCUAUUUUACUUUUUCAUAAAUCCUCAGCUGAGGUUUUCAUUUGCAGGUGUGCUCCUUGUAAUGCUCGGCUCCCUGACUGAGCCAGCAUCAUUUCUGGGGUUGUACUUUCCGGCUUCUCAUAGCUGUAAGAUUAUUAAUUUCAUACUAUUUUCUGAUUUGUUUCAUUUUUCAUCCAUCUCUUUCCUGCAGGAGAGAGCAAUUUAUAUCAUGAUUUCACUGUGGAAUUGACUUCAGGCUUUACUGCUAUUUGUCACCAUUCAGGAAAUCCAUCCCUGGCUCGAGAAGAACACUCAGUCCCUGCUGACAGUUUGAAAGAGGGAGAGAAAAUAGAUAGCAGAGCUGCAGCUAUUAGGACCAACAGGCACAUAUUUUAUUCCAACUCAAUUUUCCAUUUCCAAAUGCCUUUUGAAGAAAACCUUUCUGUUUGAAAGAACAUGAAGGAAGGUUGUGGGUACCGGUGGGUUUUUUGGGCGGGUGGGGGGUUGUUUUGGUAGUGAUGGUUUGUUGUCAAUGUUGUUUCGUAGGGACUCUCCUGUUCUUGAUGAUGUCCAUCUUCUUCCACGUUUCAGGCAGCAGGCUCACAACAACGACAAGAUGUUAUCCCACGGAAAGCUGCUGCUGCUGCCUCUGGCCUUGGUUAACCUGUUGGCAAUGGUGCUUGCCUGGGCAUGGGGCAACUGGCUUUUCACACAGCUCAGCAUGGACGUGCUGCCACUCCCAGUCACUUUUAGGACACAGUAGAAUUGUUUUUCUUGAGAUUACUGUACCCAUUAAUCUUAAGAAAAACAUGUAAUAAAACUGUUCAGCCUUCCUGGGGCCACCACUCCCAGAGACCUUUCCCCUUUUUGGCUUCUGCAAUAGCUUCUUUCCUUUGGCUCUGCACCUUUAUCAGCUAGAAAUGAUAAACUACAAAGCUGGUUGGCUUCAGGCUCUCUUUUUUGCAGGACAGGCUAUGCUUGUGCCUAUUGAGGACUGGAAGAUCACAGAGGAUGAGGGGGAAAGGGAAGGCUGCUCGCUCUUGUACACAGUGCAGGGGCAGGAUACAGCCUUUUAUGAAGUUCAGCAAAGAAAAACUUGGGCUUUCCUGCACACCGUGCCAUACCAGUCAGCCUGGUACUUAUGUUCCUGGACCUUUGAAGGCAUGCAGAUCUGCAGUGCUGCUACAGCAUCAGAGUCCAACUGCAAUGUGUGGCAUGUGAGAAGCUGGUGAACCCGCGGCCACGUUCGGCUUGAAUGCACUUUCCUUGGGAGGAAGUGGCUUUUCCCUCGGAGAGCUCAACUCCCCAGGGUCCCUGUGAGGCUGUGCCAGCUCUUCCAGCCUCCCCACUUUCUGUGUACCUGUGACCAUGGCAAUACAGCCAGGAUUACAUCUAAGGUGAAGACAGAAAAACCAUGAUGAAGGUUUAUGCUAUUUUCAUGACGAAUAUGAUGCUCACAAAAAUGAAAAGGUGUUUGUCUUCAAAGCUUUCUUCUUUCCCACAGAACGAGUGAACACGUUGCAACCCUUGCCUGAAAGACUGAGGCCAAGUUUCUCAAAAACUGACAAUUCAGGAAAAGGGAUAGGAUAGGAUGGGAAAGUCUGGGCAGAGUGAGGUGUAGAUGAGAGGAAGGUAAAACCUUAAAAUGGGAAUUUGGAGGUUUGAGAUGAGGUGGAGGGAGGCUGAGAUUCACGAAGAAAGUGUAAUCAGUAAUGAGAGGAGGUUUAUGCUGAGACCAUCUGUGCAAGGAACCAGUAGCAGGGGAGGGACAGAAGUCAGCAGAAUUGUUUGUCAGUGCAGAGAAAGUCACAGGGGAUAGGAAGUUAGAAGAAGAACUGGGCAAAGGAGACUGAAUGAAGAGCUGGCGUAGGGAACCAGAACUGGAAGUGCUGUUGGAUGCUAAGAAACUAGAGGCGGGUGGUAGACAUCUGAAGGUGUUAGCUGGGCAUAGGCAGAGGGGAAGGUGGUGGAGUACUGGGGAAGGCUGCGGGAUGAGGGGCAUGUGCUGGCUGGGCCAUCUCUGCUCUCCAGGCUGGCAGCCAAGCAGGGCUUACCCAAGGCUGGCCUUCACUGUGGCUCAGCUGGCAAAGAAUUUGCCUCUUGUUGGUCUGCCCCAGACACAGAGAGAAUUUAGUGCCCUGGGAUGAGGCGGCAGCAGCUGCCUGCCUGGGGGAGGAGAGGGCUUGCUUGUAGUUAGAUGGAAAAAUAAAAUUACAGUUGGGAGGAGGUAGUGAAAAGGCCACGUGAACAAGAGAGAAAAGGUCAAUUCAUUAGUCCGGCAGCCACUAAAUUAAGAAAAGGCAAGUGAGGCUAUAAUAUCAGAGGUAUCUGAAUUCAGUCAAAGAUGGUUUUGAAGUUGCUGGAUUGAUCUUGUGGUCAGCUUAAGCAAGCUUAACAAAUUAAUUACAGUAUUUUAGUUCAUUGUGUAAGAGCUAGCUAAUAAAUCACAGUGCUUUGUAGAAACAUGCUUGAAACAACUGUGUAAAUACUAAAUAGCCUUAGGAGUGGUCUUACGAAUCCACUGAAUAAUCCAAAUUCCAGCACUCUUCCCCCUCUGCUGCUGUUCUAGAUAUAGGAUAACAGUCACUGCUGUUAUCUGCUCCUUUUUG
ensembl:lncRNA